CAAAAAACGAGAGGCAGCAGGCGGCGAAAUAGUCGGGGGAACAAUUAUGCAAACAUGUAAAUAUUUGAAAUGACGAGUGACAACAGCAAAGUCAAAGCAGGCCAGGCACCAGUAUCAGCAACAACAAUGAGCCCGGAAUAACAGAAAUGUAAGUGGUCUCAAAUCCAUUGACUAUCCUAUCGGAAUCUGGCUGAAACAAGACAAAUUGCACUCCAGCCGGGAUCUAUGGCUACCAAAUGAAACAGAGUCACCUCACAAAGUCUGGACCGCUUUUUUUUAUGCCGUUCCUUUUCCGUAAAGAGUUUGCCAUAGACGAAAGAAGAUAAAAGGAGAGAUGACGUUAUAGAAAGGAAAGAGAGAGAGAGAGAGAGAGCGAUGCCAGAGCUAAGGGCAUAAAGGGCAAGCCGUGUCGAAAUGCUGCUGACGUUUCACAUUCAAAUGCUGAAGAAAUAGAAAAAAAAAAAAAUGCUGGAGAAUAUUAACAACGAAGUUUGAGUGCUCUAAGAACUUAAAAUGACAAAUGGCAAAUGACUUAUUUAUGCAGGUAUUCUCCCUUAAAAUGGAAUAGUAAAAAUUGCCUGGCUAAAGCUUUCUAUAAAUAGAAUGUGAUAAAUGUGCUUCUCAGUGUUUUACACAGAUUUAUAACACUAUGGCUGACUUAAACUAAAGUGAAAAUUAAAAGUACAAAAGUAUAUUAAAAGUAUAAUGGAUAACUAAAACAAAACCAAAAUUAAAAGUGUGAAGUGAAUAUCUAGUGUUAAAUGUGCAUCGGUGUUAUACAGGGACUUGUAGUAUUUCGGCUCAUUAAAAACGAGUGUGGUGUAUUUUUUUAAAAAUUUUUUAAAUAUAUUUUUUUUAAGUGAAGUGAUUGCCUAGUGCUUAAUGUAUUUCCUAGUGUUUUAUAGGAAUUUAUGGCAGUUUACUUAUUUAAAAGUGUGUGUGAUAUGUAUCAAUUUUUUUUUUUAAGUGAAGUGAUUGCUUAGUGUUUAACCGCGUUUAUAGAGGAACUUUUAGCAUUUCGUGAAGUGAAUUAUCUUGCCCUUAAUGGGUAAUUAAUAAAUUUUUUUCAGGUAUUUAUAGUAU